UACGUAGGGUGCGAGCGUUGACCGGAAUUAUUGGGCGUAAAGCGCUCGUAGGCGGUCUGUCGCGUCGGCAGUGAAAACUCAGGGCUUAACCCUGAGCCUGCUUCCGAUACGGGCAGACUAGAGGUAUGCAGGGGAGAAUGGAAUUCCUGGUGUAGCGGUGAAAUGCGCAGAUAUCAGGAGGAACACCAGUGGCGAAGGCAGUUCUCUGGGCAUUACCUGACGCUGAGGAGCGAAAGUGUGGGGAGCGAACAGG
rnacentral:rRNA from 1 species